GAUGAACGCUGGCGGCGUGCCUAACACAUGCGAGUCGAACGGAGUCGUUUUGGAAAUCUCUUCGGAGAUGGAAUUCUCGACUUAGUGGCGGACGGGUGAGUAACGCGUGAGCAAUCUGCCUUUAAGAGGGGGAUAACAGUCGGAAACGGCUGCUAAUACCGCAUAAAGCAUUAAAUUCGCAUGUUUUUGAUGCCAAAGGAGCAAUCCGCUUUUAGAUGAGCUCGCGUCUGAUUAGCUAGUUGGCGGGGUAACGGCCCACCAAGGCGACGAUCAGUAGCCGGACUGGGAGGUUGAACGGCCACAUUGGGACUGAGACACGGCCCAGACUCCUACGGGAGGAAGCAGUGGGGAAUAUUGCGCAAUGGGGGAAACCCUGACGAAGCAACGCCGCGUGAUUGAAGAAGGCCUUCGGGUUGUAAAGAUCUUUAAUCAGGGACGAAACAAAUGACGGUACCUGAAGAAUAAGCUCCGGCUAACUACG
rnacentral:rRNA from 1 species